UACGGGGGGGGGCAAGCGUUGUUCGGAAUUACUGGGCGUAAAGGGCUCGUAGGCGGCCAACUAAGUCAGACGUGAAAUCCCUAGGCUCAACCUAGGAACUGCGUCUGAUACUGGAUGGCUUGAAUCCGGGAGAGGGAUGCAGAAUUCCAGGUGUAGCGGUGAAAAUGCGUAGAUAUCUGGAGGAAUACCGGUGGCGAAGGCGGCAUCCUGGACCGGCAUUGACGCUGAGGAGCGAAAAGCCAGGGGGAGCAAACGGG
rnacentral:rRNA from 1 species